rnacentral:sRNA from 1 species
AGCAGCCGCGGUAAUUCCAGCUCCAAUAGCGUAUAUUAAAGUUGUUGCAGUUAAAAAGCUCGUAGUUGAAUUUCGGGAUCAAUUAAUUGGUCGUGCCUCUGGUACGUACUGGUUUUAUUGGUUUCUCCCUUCUGACGAACCAUGAUGUCAUUAAUUUGGUGUCGUGGAGAAUCAGGACUGUUACUUUGAAAAAUUAGAGUGUUUAAAGCAAGCUAACGCUUGAAUACAUUAGCAUGGAAUAAUGAAAUAGGACGUUUGAUCCUAUUUUGUUGGUUUCUAGGAUCGACGUAAUGAUUAAUAGGGAUAGUUGGGGGCAUUAGUAUUCAAUUGUCAGAGGUGAAAUUCUUGGAUUUAUUGAAGACUAACUACUGCGAAAGCAUUUGCCAAGGAUGUUUUCAUUAAUCAAGAACGAAGUUAGGGGAUCGAAGACGAUCAGAUACCGUCGUAGUCUUAACCAUAAACUAUGCCGA